GCCUACUUUUUAUGUCCAUUCCUAUGGCUGCAGGGCCAUGUCCUGUGAUUGGCAGCUCCUCAGAACCACAUGGAGUGGAAGAGCUGUUCCUAGAAAUAGGGUGCUUCUUAUUCUGAGAGGACAAGAAUGACAGCCACAUCAUCUGUAGAAGGCAGCCAGGGAAGUUGUUGACCAAGCUUUGCCGGCUUUUUUGCAGCUUUCUGUUCCAGCAAGUUACUCCCCCAAAUCCUACCUAUUUUAAAAACAACUCUCAGAGGAAGAAAGGCUUGGCAGCCAACAGAUGACCACCACAUUCUCUCCCCCAAGACGUCUGAUUUCAGAAGGCAAAAAUUCAAGAAUGACUAUUUACUGCCUAUAUCUGAUAGAAGAAUCCCAUUUCUCAUGAGAAAAUCAACGGAUAAUACUCAGCGUUUCUUCAAAACCAAAACUUCCUUUAUCAAAACCUGUAGAACACAGGUUUCAGAAAACUUCGUAAAAUAUUCAGAUCAAAUUUGGGUUUGUUAUUGAUUUUCAGGAGGAUUAAUCUCUUUUAUAUUAAAAACUCAUUUGGUCACAA
rnacentral:lncRNA from 1 species